AACGAACGCUGGCGGCAGGCUUAACACAUGCAAGUCGAACGCCCCGCAAGGGGAGUGGCAGACGGGUGAGUAACGCGUGGGAACAUACCCUUUCCUGCGGAAUAGCUCUGGGAAACUGGAAUUAAUACCGCAUACGCCCUACGGGGGCAAGAUUUAUCGGGGAAGGAUUGGCCCGCGUUGGAUUAGCUAGUUGGUGGGGUAAAGGCCUACCAAGGCGACGGUCCAUAGCUGGUCUGAGAGGAUGAUCAGCCACAUUGGGACUGAGACAAGGCCCAAACUCCGCCGGGAGGCAGCAGUGUGGAAUAUUGGACAUUGGGCGAAAGCCUGAUCGAGCCAUGCCGGGUGGGUGAUGAAGGCCUUAGGGUUGUAUAGCUCUUUCACCGAUGAAGAUAAGGACGGUAGUCGGAGAAGAAGCCCCGGCUAACUUCGUGCCAGCCGCCGCGGUAAGAC
rnacentral:rRNA from 1 species